UGCACUAACUACUGUAAGUCGCUCUGGAUAAGAGCAUCUGCUAAAUGACAAAAC
rfam:Salmo salar isolate Sally breed double haploid chromosome ssa19, whole genome shotgun sequence.